rnacentral:rRNA from 1 species
AGUGAAUAGAUACCCUGGUAGUCCCAGCUGUAAACGAUGCGCGUUAGGUGUAUCGGUGACCACGAGUCACCGAGGUGCCGAAGGGAAACCGUGAAACGUGCCGCCUGGGAAGUACGGUCGCAAGGCUGAAACUUAAGGGAAUUGGCGGGGGAGCACCACAACAGGUGGAGCCUGCGGUUUAAUCGGACUCAACGCCGGGAAGCUCACCGGAUAAGACAGCUGAAUGAUAGCCGGGUUGAAGACUCUGCUUGACUAGCUGAGAGGAGGUGCAUGGCCGUCGUCAGUUCGUACUGUGAAGCAUCCUGUUAAGUCAGGCAACGAGCGAGACCCACGCCAACAGUUGCCAGCGUGUCCUCCGGGAUGGUGGGGACACUGUUGGGACCGCCUCUGCUAAAGAGGAGGAAGGAAUGGGCAACGGUAGGUCAGCAUGCCCCGAAUUAUCCGGGCUACACGCGGGCUACAAUGGUCAGGACAAUGGGUAUCAACACCGAAAGGUGAAGGCAAUCUCCUAAACCUGUCCUUAGUUCGGAUUGUGGGCU